UACGUAGGGUGCAAGCGUUGUCCGGAAUUAUUGGGCGUAAAGAGCUCGUAGGCGGUUUGUCGCGUCUGCUGUGAAAACUCAGGGCUUAACCCUGAGCCUGCAGUGGGUACGGGCAGACUAGAGUGUGGUAGGGGAGAUCGGAAUUCCUGGUGUAGCGGUGAAAUGCGCAGAUAUCAGGAGGAACACCGGUGGCGAAGGCGGGUCUCUGGGCCGUAACUGACGCUGAGGAGCGAAAGCAUGGGGAGCGAACAGG
rnacentral:rRNA from 1 species